rnacentral:rRNA from 1 species
GCGGAAGGAUCAUUACCAAAUAACGGGUGUUCUUUUCUCGAAAAGACCCCAAAAACCCCCACCCCGGCCUAAUGGGAAACCAUUAGUGCCAUUAUUAAAAACAACCGUUAUGUCGUGUUUACUAGUAGGUAAUUGAGCUAUAUUUUUGGCACUUUUACCUAUUGGUUAUAUAUCACGACAGUUUAAUUAAAAAAUUAUAUACCCCAUUAAAAACAAUCUGGUGGCUUGAUGCUAAAAAAACAAAACAUUUAGACAACUUUUAACGGUGGAUCUCUAGGCUCGUGCAUCGAUGAAGAACGCAGCGAAAUGCGAUACGUAGUGUGAAUUGCAGAUCUUCGUGAAUCAUCGAAUCUUUGAACGCAAAUUGCGGUUCCAGGUAACUCCUGGGACCAUGCCUGGUUGAGUGUCAUCAAAACCCAACACUAUAUGUGGAAUAAAUGAGGUUCACGGUGUGAAAAAAAGUACUUGUAUUUUUUGGAACACUGGGUGCCUUUGAAUAUAGGUCAAAGUAAUUGCCUUUUCAUGGCUUUACUCAUCAUACGAUGUUUUUACUUUCUGUUAAAAGUUUGUAAAUUAUAUCUGUGAAGAGGAAAUGCAAUGUGAAAAAAGUAAUAAUAUACUAGACAUUUAACAAAGUAAUGUUUUCUUUGAAACCAAAGACAUUAUUAUAAGAAAUUUGACCUCAACUCAGGC